rnacentral:rRNA from 1 species
GGAAACCCUGAUCCAGCCAUGCCGCGUGUGUGAAGAAGGCCCUAGGGUUGUAAAGCACUUUUAGUAGUGAGGAAGGCUCAGUAGUUAAUACCUAUUGGGAUUGACGUUAGCUACAGAAAAAGCACCGGCUAAUUUCGUGCCAGCAGCCGCGGUAAUACGAAAGGUGCAAGCGUUAAUCGGAAUUACUGGGCGUAAAGCGCGCGUAGGCGGCUUGGUAAGUUGGAUGUGAAAGCCCCGGGCUCAACCUGGGAACUGCAUCCAAAACUGUCUAGCUAGAGUAUGGUAGAGGAUGGCGGAAUUUCC